GCCUGGGUGGCUCAGUCGGUUAAGCACCUGACUUCAGCUCAGGUCAUGAUCUCGCAGUUUGUGGGUUCGAACCCCAUGUCGAGCU
rnacentral:tRNA from 1 species